rnacentral:rRNA from 1 species
ACGAACGCUGGCGGCGUGCUUAACACCUGCAAGUCGUACGGUAAGGCCCUUUCGGGGGUACACGAGUGGCGAACGGGUGAGUAACACGUGAGUAACCUGCCCACAACUUUGGGAUAACGCUAGGAAACUGGUGCUAAUACUGGAUAUGUGCUCCUGCUGCAUGGUGGGGGUUGGAAAGCUCCGGCGGUUGUGGAUGGACUCGCGGCCUAUCAGCUUGUUGGUGGGGUAGUGGCCUACCAAGGCGGCGACGGGUAGCCGGCCUGAGAGGGUGACCGGCCACAUUGGGACUGAGAUACGGCCCAGACUCCUACGGGAGGCAGCAGUGGGGAAUAUUGCACAAUGGGCGCAAGCCUGAUGCAGCAACGCCGCGUGCGGGAUGACGGCCUUCGUGUUGUAAACCGCUUUCAGCAGGGACGAAGCUUUUUGUGACGGUACCUGCAGAAGAAGCACCGGCUAACUACGUG